UUGAAGCCAUUUCACGAGUAGAAGCAGGAGGCAGUACAAAUUAAGUGAAGUCCUUUUUCAGGGGUAAAUGAUAGGAAGGAAUAAGGCCUGCCCCUGCUCAGCAGGACUUCUUUUGCUUUGGUCAGUGUCAGGCAUGACGUAGAUGAGAAGAAGUGGGGUUACCUCUCCGAAUUGAAGGCAUUUUCAAGGGCCUCCGAGAUUUUCAACUACUUUACCUUUGAGGCAGAGGAAAGAAGACGAUUUGGUCAAAGUCUUCAGGUGAAGGUUACUCUUGGAAAUCCAGCUCCAGCUGGCAACAGCCAAGGUGGCCCUGGUUGCCUGAUCUGCAGGUGAGGGAAAACUGGGCAAGAAUCCAUUCCAAACCUGGAACAAAUGACCUUACUGUAAUGAGCACAGUGGUGUGUCCUCUCUGAGGUUGGUUGGAAAGUGAUAAAAAGCACACAGGAGAAGGUGUAAAGCCGAAGAUUCCUGUGUGCUGACUGUGCAGGCAGAGAGGCAAGCACAGCAAAAGACAUUCAUUUGGUGGAGCUGCUAUGGGUUUGGGCAUGGAGUUAUUGCAAAGGUAUGAUUUACAUUUGGAAAAUAAGAAAUGCAUGUUCCUACGGCUUUCUCACUUGCACCUGUGCUGUGCUACCAAGGAAAGUAGCUUGGUACUCCUUUAACAGGCUUGUGAACCCUCCCCCAGCACUUAACAGCUCUCGUUUUUGAUGCUGCUGGGAACAGGACAGCAAAGAGGAAUCAGGGAGCUGUUUUGUGGGCCCGAUUCACUCCUGAUAUUUCUUGCUUGUUCAGUUGGCUAUUUAAAGCCCCAGCAUGCACUUGUAAUGCAGGUGAGAUGCAAGAUUAGAGGUGAGGAGCUGAGCUUUUCUGUGAUUUUGACUUUUCUGUGGCAAACUCACUCAACUUCUGUGAGUUUGACUUGUAGCCUGAUGUCAUCAGGAAGCUUUAUUCAGUUUGUUUGGUUUAAUCUGCCAACUACCCCCCCCCCCCCAAAAAAAAAAAAUGCCCUCAGACCCCCAAAUCUGCCUAGUGUUGCAAAAUCAGAGCUUGUUAUGAUACUGAAAGACUACAGAAAUAGAUGUGAACCUGUUAUGAGGGAAGGGUGAGGGAUGGAAUUUCGCUUAGGAGUGACUGAAUCUGUGAAAAAAAAAAAAAAAAGAGAAAAGAAAAGAAGAACGGCUUUGAGAAAAUGCAACCAAUAAUUAAUACAGGGAUUGGGCUUGCCUGAGGCUACCUGGAGGCCCGGUGCUUAGAAGAGAGAAAAGAGGAUUAGGUACUUCACUUGUAGGAACAGCGCCCAUCGGCUUCAGCAGAUAAGAUAAUCGCUCCGAGAGCCCUGUGCCUCCUGCCUGGCGUUGGCAGCGUGAGGGGAGAUACGGCCACACGCCCACACGGGAGCACAAUUAGCGAGGUGCUGCAGGCAGGGCUGCUUUCCUUGGAAAACAGAGCUGAUCCCUGCAGCUGGAGGCCAGAAACUGGGAGGCAUUCCUGUGCUUCCUGAGUACAAGCUGGCUUUUCAGCACGUUUACAGACACACUCCCACAGUGAGCUCAGCAGUGACAGGCAGCUACACACAGAAGCAACAGCCCCUGGCAUGGUGGAGAACGGUGCUUGUAAACCAGCAAUGAGGCCAUCCCCUGCUGUGGAGGACUGAGUCGUCUGAUCCACCAGGUUCCAUCUGCUUCAGGUUCUGGGCCUUGUAUUUUGUUCAAAUUGCUGUAAUUGUCAAGUCAGUUUCCAGGUUUGCGUCACUCCCAAGCAAACCUGGAAACCAUGAGUUUGCUCUCCUUCCUCCACGGGGUGUCAAAGUGACUUGGUCAGUGGUGUGUGAGCAAAGGCACAGUGCAUUGGCUGGUGUGUCCACUGGGUCACCCACAAGUUCAGACCUGCUUGUCCAUCUGGAAGGGGCUGCACAGGGUAGGCCUGUGUGACAAAACCAUGGGCAGCAGUGCAGAGCUUGGUGAGUUUACACCAGCUGGUGCAUGGCAGGAGGUCACCUGUGGGGACUGCCUCCACACCGAGAUGCAACCAAAGUCUCUAAUCUUUAGCCCUGAGAAGAAAUGCCUCCUCUUUAGGGCUGAUGCCACAUCUGAGGUCCAAUUAAGAUGUAAGGAGUAAAAGUCACAUCUCCAUGCCAGAGGUAACUAUCCAUAAGAAGAAAAAUAGAUUCUUUAUGGCUUGAGCUCAGGGACCCUCCAUGAUCUCUGUUGCCUGGGGCUCAAGGAAAAUGAAAGAGAAAGGAGCAGCUGUGCCAUCACUCCCACUGGAGCAGUUGUUUCAGCCAGACUUGUGAGGUGAUGGGAUUAGGAAUUUGCACCCCACCAGAAUCUUGCGUAUACUCUCCGAGGUUGGACCCCUGCUGAUCAGGGGAGGCAGGCAUGUGAACAGUGGGUCCUGGGGUCAUGGAAGGCUAGCACUUUGAGAGAUCUUUAUCUCAUAAUCUGUACCUUGAGUCUCAACAAGCUAGUCCUUGGUUUCUGUUCUGUUUGGUGACAUGAAUGUCUCCCUCCACCUCAUGAGGAGAAGUGUUCUGGACAUACAAUCCAUUUGCUGUCUCAAAGUACUCAGAAUCCUUUGGUGCUCUGUGGUUAUUUGAAUGUCUCUUCUGAUCAAGACAUUCUCCUAGUGGAACAAAGGGGAAGAAAACAUCAUCACUGUAGACUCCCUCAACCUAUAAACUAUAUCCUGGAGAGCCUGAUGCCUGUGACAAAACCUCAGACUUUAUCUUUUUGCUCUCACUGCCUCCUCUUGGUGCACCCUGUCCUGCUCCUGCAAGUCAGAAAUUAACUUUGGGUGGCCACCACCUCUUCUUAGUGUGAAUGCAAUCAAAAUGUGCUGCUCACUUUGAGGAACUAUCAAGUCUGCUGGGAUGGAGUCAAACCUAGACAAGGAGGAAUGGCCUUGGUGUCUUCUUCGACAACCAACCAUCUGAGACAAUCAAGAAGUGGUAAAUGAAGUAUCACUGCAUGGAAAUAGCCUGCUGUAAGAAAAACCCUGAACAAAAACGAUGUCUCUUGCAACAGUAGCUGCCACUGUGGCCUUUCCACUCCAUGCUGAUGGCCUCCUGGACUAGAUCUGCCUGCCACAUAGUGCUCCUGAUGGGCACAAGGCUCAGACUAGGAACUGCUGCUCUCAACAGAGCAUCACCUAGGAGGUGAUGAAGACCAACAAAGGCAACUUUAAUUUUUAUAGCACUGCUAAGCCCUUUCUUUUUUAGGGUUGGAUUUAGCUUGGAGCCCAUGGCUGCCUGAUGACGUGUGAAUGGGAUGUUGGUGAGGAGCUGACCUUACAGCUGAUGACAAGUUGUACUGGCACGGACUGGUGUAGCUGACUGAGGGCUGAAACCGCAUAGCAGAAAAACCAAGGUGAUGUGAAUCCUCUACAAACUCUGUAGGCAACAAUGCAAAUAGGAUCAGCAAAUCAUCAAUCAACUGCUCUCAUCAUCCCUUGCA